GAUGAACGCUGGCGGCGUGCCUAAUACAUGCAAGUCGAGCGAACGGACGAGAAGCUUGCUUCUCUGAUGUUAGCGGCGGACGGGUGAGCAACACGUGGAUAACCUACCUAUAAGACUGGGAUAACUUCGGGAAACCGUAGCUAAUACCGGAUAAUAUUUUGAACCGCAUGGUUCAAAAGUGAAAGACGGUCUUGCUGUCACUUAUAGAUGGAUCCGCGCUGCAUUAGCUAGUUGGUAAGGUAACGGCUUACCAAGGCAACGAUGCAUAGCCGACCUGAGAGGGUGAUCGGCGACACUGGAACUGAGACACGGUCCAGACUCCUACGGGAGGCAGCAGUAGGGAAUCUUCCGCAAUGGGCGAAAGCCUGACGGAGCAACGCCGCGUGAGUGAUGAAGGUCUUCGGAUCGUAAAACUCUGUUAUUAGGGAAGAACAUAUGUGUAAGUAACUGUGCACAUCUUGACGGUACCUAAUCAGAAAGCCACGGCUAACUACGUG
rnacentral:rRNA from 1 species